AGCAUGUGGUUAAUUCGACGCAACGCGAAGACCUUACCAGGGCUUGACCAUCCCCUGACCGCGUAUGAAAGUACGUUUUCACCCCUCGGGGUGACAGGGAGACAGGUUGGUGCAUGGUUGUCGUCAGCUCGUGUCGUGAGAUGUUGGGUUAAGUCCCGCAACGAGCGCAACCCCUACGUUUAGUUGCUAACGCGUGAAGGCGAGCACUCUAGACGAACUGCCGUUGACAAAACGGAGGAAGGUGGGGAUGACGUCAAAUCAUCAUGCCCCUUAUGUUCUGGGCUACACACGUGCUACAAUGGCCGAUACAGACGGACGCAAAGCCGCGAGGUGGAGCAAAUCCUAAAAAGCCGGUCUCAGUUCGGAUUGCAGGCUGCAAUUCGCCUGCAUGAAGUCGGAAUCGCUAGUAAUCGCAGGUCAGCAUACUGCGGUGAAUACGUUCCCGGGCCUU
rnacentral:rRNA from 1 species